UGGCCGGGACGACCCGGCCGACGGGACCCCGGCGAGGACGGCCUC
rnacentral:ncRNA from 1 species